rnacentral:rRNA from 1 species
GACGAACGCUGGCGGCGUGCUUAACACAUGCAAGUCGAACGGAAAGGCCCUGCUUUUGUGGGGUGCUCGAGUGGCGAACGGGUGAGUAACACGUGAGUAACCUGCCCUUGACUUUGGGAUAACUUCAGGAAACUGGGGCUAAUACCGGAUAGGAGCUCCUGCUGCAUGGUGGGGGUUGGAAAGUUUCGGCGGUUGGGGAUGUACUCGCGGCUUAUCAGCUUGUUGGUGGGGUAGUGGCUUACCAAGGCUUUGACGGGUAGCCGGCCUGAGAGGGUGACCGGCCACAUUGGGACUGAGAUACGGCCCAGACUACUACGGGAGGCAGCAGUGGGGAAUAUUGCACAAUGGGCGGAAGCCUGAUGCAGCAACGCCGCGUGCGGGAUGACGGCCUUCGGGUUGUAAACCGCUUUCGCCUGUGACGAAGCGUGAGUGACGGUAAUGGGUAAAGAAGCACCGGCUAACUACGUG